rnacentral:rRNA from 1 species
UAUUAUACUAAUAAGUGAGUUAAGCCCUAGAUUAUUAAUAGAUAUAUUCUUUAAAUUUAAAGAAUUUGGCGGUGAUUUAGUCUUGUCAGAGGAACCUGUUUUUGAAUCGAUAAACCACGUAAAAUUUUACUCAUUUUUGUGUUCAGUAUAUAUACCGUCAUUAUCAGAUAAUUUUUAAAGAAUUAAUUAUUGAAAUUUUUAAAAUAAAUUAAAUUAGAUCAAGGUGUAGCUAAUAAAUGAGUUAAAAUGGGUUACAAUAAAAUUUAUUUAAACGGAAUAAGAAAGGAAGAGUGUCUAAUAAGAAGGAGGAUUUGAUUGUAAUAUAAGUUUAGUAUGCUUAGGAGAUAUUAGCUCUAAAUCGU